rnacentral:lncRNA from 10 species
CAGCUUAUCCCCACUCUAAGGCUGGGGAAGCGCACAGAGAGGUUAAGUAACUUGCAGCUCCACGAGACACCAUGCCAGCCGGAAGUUUGUGUUUUUCAACAUACCUCAGAUUCAAUACAAAAACCCUUGGGUGCAGAUCAUGAUGUUUAAGAACAUGACGCCGUCACCCUUCCUGCGAUUCUACUUAGAUUCUGGGGAGCAGGUCCUGGUGGAUGUGGAGACCAAGAGCAAUAAGGAGAUCAUGGAGCACAUCAGAAAAAUCUUGGGGAAGAAUGAGUGAGUUGUUUGGUUUGACCUGGAAGGAACAAACUUCUCAGCCCAGAGAAUUUGAGGAAGAAAGGGGUGUGUGGGAAGGGUGUUGAGAGGUAAGAUUCUCUGACAGUGAACGCCAGACACUAAUAAGAGCUGGGGCUGUAGAAUCAGUUCUUUCUGAUGUUGCUCUUUACCAAAUCAUUAAACCUCUGUAAGCUUUAUCUCCCUUGGCUGUACAGUGUGAGAAGUACCUCUCUCCCUCUUGCGGGGGACGGGAAGCUGAAAUGCAGCUGACUUGUGGCCCUGUGCAGCUGCUAACCCAUCUCUCCUGGGAAUCUCAGCUUGGAGCUAGCAGACAUCUAGCCCUAGGGCUCCUGGUGACAGGUCUUUCUUUCCAUGAAUGAGAGGAGACAGAAAGGGACGGAAGCUGAAAAAGUCUGUCUUUGAGAAACCACACAGAGGCCUUUUCAGGCUCCUUUAUCUUGUGAUUGCAUGUGAGAGCUGUGGGCUCCACCUGUGGCAGCAGAUAGGCUGACCGCACUGUGUAGGCUUGCUGCUGUGGUGUGAGGGGACAACAGCAGGCCUUCUUUCAGCGCUCUCCUCAGGGGCCAGCAGGGAGACAGCGAUAGGCUUUGACAGUGAGGAUCAG